UGACGAUUUAAUACGAUUGGCAAGAACAUUGGAUGAUUUGGAAAAUAAACUUGCGAAAGGUGAAAAUGAACUUGCGAAAGAAAAUUUUCUGUCGUGGCAUAUGUCAGCGCGUUGGAAGGACAAAUUUUUUCUUGAUGACGAUUUUGAGCUCAGGGUGAUAAUUACACAUAUAAUAGCUCACGAUUUUUGUCUUUGAUAUUAAAACUAUUAGAUGCACUAAAUUUACUUGGG
rnacentral:misc_RNA from 1 species